AGUGAACGCUGGCGGCAGGCCUAAUACAUGCAAGUCGAACGGCAGCACAGUGGAGCUUGCUCCAUGGGUGGCGAGUGGCGGACGGGUGAGGAAUACAUGGGAAUCUGCCCAGUCGUGGGGAUAACGUAUGGAAACGUACGCUAAUACCGCAUGCGCCCUUCGGGGGAAAGUCGGGGACCGCAAGGCCUGACGCGAUUGGAUGAGCCCAUGUUCGAUUAGCUAGUUGGCGGGGUAACGGCCCACCAAGGCGACGAUCGAUAGCUGGUCUGAGAGGAUGAUCAGCCACACUGGAACUGAGACACGGUCCAGACUCCUACGGGAGGCAGCAGUAGGGAAUAUUGGACAAAUGGGCGCAAGCCUGAUCCAGCCACUGCCGCGUGAGU
rnacentral:rRNA from 1 species